UACGUAGGGUCCAAGCGUUAUCCGGAAUUACUGGGCGUAAAGAGUUGCGUAGGUGGCAUGGAAAGCGAAUAGUGAAAGCGUGUGGCUCAACCAUACAUCCAUUAUUUGAACUCCCAAGCUAGAAGAUGAGAGAGGUAGAUGGAAUUCCUAAUGUAGGGGUAAUAUCCGUAGAUAUUAGGAGGAACACCGAUGGCGUAGGCAGUCUACUGGCUCAUUCUUGACACUAAGGCACGAAAGCGUGGGGAGCAAA
rnacentral:rRNA from 1 species